AGCGAACGCUGGCGGCAGGCCUAACACAUGCAAGUCGAACGAACCUUUCGGGGUUAGUGGCGGACGGGUGAGUAACACGUGGGAACGUGCCUUUAGGUUCGGAAUAACUCAGGGAAACUUGUGCUAAUACCGAAUGUGCCCUUCGGGGGAAAGAUUAAUCGCCUUUAGAGCGGCCCGCGUCUGAUUAGCUAGUUGGUUGAGGUAAUGGCUCACCAAGGCGACGAUCAGUAGCUGGCCUGAGAGGAUGAUCAGCCACAUUGGGACUGAGACACGGCCCAAACUCCUACGGGAGGCAGCAGUGGGGAAUCUUGCGCAAUGGGCGAAAGCCUGACGCAGCUAUGCCGCGUGAAUGAUGAAGGUCUUAGGAUUGUAAAAUUCUUUCACCGGGGACGAUAAUGACGGUACCCGGAGAAGAAGCCCCGGCUAACUUCGUG
rnacentral:rRNA from 1 species